UUUACAAAUCCAAACAAUCAUGCAUUAAGUUGUUAUACAUUAUUAUGUAUAAGAAAAGGUAGAAUUAGCUAUGCAUGACAUAUUCAGCUCUAGAAGAACAUCAACAACCCAUUCUCAUUCAUUCAGGCAACGAUUUAAGGCUAACAAUGGCGGAAGAUGACACGUGACUAGAAAAAGGGAGAAGAUGGUACGGAAAAUCAAGAGCAAGCAAAUAUGGGACCAUAGAGAAGUGGAUGUGGUACAAGUAUAGGGGAAUCACGUUUGAAGAUUUCAAACUCUGAAUGAAUAAGAGGUAACCUCAAGUUUGAAUGGUUAAGAGGUAACCUCUGAAUGGUAAAUCAUCACAU
rnacentral:lncRNA from 1 species